GAUGAACGCUGGCGGCGUGCCUAAUACAUGCAAGUCGAGCGAACGGACGAGAAGCUUGCCUCUCUGAUGUUAGCGGCGGACGGGUGAGCAACACGUGGAUAACCUACCUAUAAGACUGGGAUAACUUCGGGAAACCGGAGCUAAUACCGGAUAAUAUUUUGAACCGCAUGGUUCAAAAGUGAAAGACGGUCUUGCUGUCACUUAUAGAUGGAUCCGCGCUGCAUUAGCUAGUUGGUAAGGUAACGGCUUACCAAGGCAACGAUGCAUAGCCGACCUGAGAGGGUGAUCGGCCACACUGGAACUGAGACACGGUCCAGACUCCUACGGGAGGCAGCAGUAGGGAAUCUUCCGCAAUGGGCGAAAGCCUGACGGAGCAACGCCGCGUGAGUGAUGAAGGUCUUCGGAUCGUAAAACUCUGUUAUUAGGGAAGAACAUAUGUGUAAGUAACUGUGCACAUCUUGACGGUACCUAAUCAGAAAGCCACGGCUAACUACGUG
rnacentral:rRNA from 1 species